rnacentral:lncRNA from 1 species
AGAAACCAGAGCUGCUGGAGGAAACAGAAGUACCCAAAAUGCCUGAAGCUGACACCCCACCAGACCGGGCUGGAGUCUAGGGCUCUGGAGAGAAAGAAGAGUGUAGACUCCGAGAUGGAUCACGGCAUGCGGCCCAGGACGUGGAAACCUGGCCCAGGCAGAGGUGCGACUCCAUCCCAGACUCCAGACCCAGAGGCCGUCGCCCGGCUCUCACCCAUUUCCUGGGGAAACAUGCCCCGGGGCCUCCCCAGCGCCAGCCCUCAUGUUAGCCAAUGUAGGGGACACGCCUAACACCUGACACCUGCCCAAGGGACACGCCACCCCAGCAGCCAGGCUGACAGGAGCAGAAACAAAACACACAGGGAUACGCCAGGCGGGCAGCACCAGGAAACAGGCUGCUGCCGCCACAGGGGCCGCUGUGAGCCCAGAAUGGAUCCAACCCAGCCUCAGCCUUCUUCAGAGAGAGAAACUGAAGCAUGCUCAGCACGAUGGGAAGUGGCUGAAACCCUGAAGAACCCCCAAGAGCACAUCCACGGAGACACUGGGAACCAUGAGGCCCCAGCCUCUGCACAUCUGCAUUGCAAACAGGGAAACUGAGGCUCACCGUGCCUCGGGCCACACUGCAAGGCUGUGCACUGCUCAGGACUCCGGAACCCGGGACCCUUGUCCCCCGCUGCAGCAGCUGACCCUGUCCUGGACAUUUUCUCCUGACUUUAUGAGACUCUAGUGCAGAGGUUGCAAACUCAGAUGCUCACAGCCACCAGGCAGGGAACAAGAGGGGCACAGUUGGCCUAAUGGGGGCCGUGUCUGUCUUGAAAGCAGCUGCCCCUCCUGAAGGCGGCGGCUCACAGUGGCGGAACUCCCUCCGACUCCUCCCCACCCCCUCCCCACAGGUCAGGAACACGGGGAGACUACAGCUAGCUCUUCAUAUUUUUUUUUGUUUGUCUUUUGAGGAGAAUCCAGAGAUCUCGAUUUCAGUGUGAAAUAUCUUGAUUCCGG